CGGACGGGUGAGUAAUGUCUGGGAAACUGCCUGAUGGAGGGGGAUAACUACUGGAAACGGUAGCUAAUACCGCAUAACGUCGCAAGACCAAAGAGGGGGACCUUCGGGCCUCUUGCCAUCGGAUGUGCCCAGAUGGGAUUAGCUAGUAGGUGGGGUAACGGCUCACCUAGGCGACUAUCCCUAGCUGGUCUGAGAGGAUGACCAGCCACACUGGAACUGAGACACGGUCCAG
rnacentral:rRNA from 1 species